rnacentral:rRNA from 1 species
CAGGCGCGAAACCUUUACAAUGCACGCAAGUGUGAUAAGGGAAUCCUCAGUGCUCAUGCAUUGCAUGGGCUUUUGCCAAGCGUAAAUAGCUUGGCGAAUAAGUGGUGGGUAAGACUGGUGCCAGCCGCCGCGGUAACACCAGCGCCACGAGUGGCAACCACGUUUAUUGGGCCUAAAGCGUCCGUAGCCGGUUUGGUAAAUCUCUUGUGAAAUCGUCAGGCUUAACUUGACGGCGUGCAMGAGACACUGCCUAACUUGAGACCGGGAGGAGUCAGAGGUAUUCCUGGGGGAGCGGUAAAAUGUGAUAAUCCCUGGAGGAUCACCUAUGGCGAAGGCAUCUGACCAGAACGGAUCUGACGGUGAGGGACGAAGGCUAGGGGAGCGAUCCGGAUUAGAUACCCGAGUAGUCCUAGCAGUAAACGCUGCGAGCAAGAUGUUGCGCUUCUUACGAGGAUGCGCAGUGUCGAAGAGAAGUCGUUAAGCUCGCCGCCUGGGAAGUACGGUCGCAAGACUGAAACUUUAAGGAAUUGGCGG